UGCAAGUCGAGCGGUAGAGAGAAGCUUGCUUCUCUUGAGAGCGGCGGACGGGUGAGUAAUGCCUAGGAAUCUGCCUGGUAGUGGGGGAUAACGUUCGGAAACGGACGCUAAUACCGCAUACGUCCUACGGGAGAAAGCAGGGGACCUUCGGGCCUUGCGCUAUCAGAUGAGCCUAGGUCGGAUUAGCUAGUUGGUGAGGUAAUGGCUCACCAAGGCGACGAUCCGUAACUGGUCUGAGAGGAUGAUCAGUCACACUGGAACUGAGACACGGUCCAGACUCCUACGGGAGGCAGCAGUGGGGAAUAUUGGACAAUGGGCGAAAGCCUGAUCCAGCCAUGCCGCGUGUGUGAAGAAGGUCUUCGGAUUGUAAAGCACUUUAAGUUGGGAGGAAGGGCAGUUGCCUAAUACGUAACUGUUUUGACGUCACCGACAGAAUAAGCACCGGCUAACUCUGUGCCAGCAGCCGCGGUAAUACAGAGGGUGCAAGCGUUAAUCGGAAUUACUGGGCGUAAAGCGCGCGUAGGUGGUUUGUUAAGUUGGAUGUGAAAUCCCCGGGCUCAACCUGGGAACUGCAUUCAAAACUGACUGACUAGAGUAUGGUGGAGGGU
rnacentral:rRNA from 1 species